rnacentral:rRNA from 1 species
CAAACGACUCUCGGCAACGGAUAUCUCGGCUCUUGCAUCGAUGAAGAACGUAGCGAAAUGCGAUACUUGGUGUGAAUUGCAGAAUCCCGUGAACCAUCGAGUCUUUGAACGCAAGUUGCGCCCGAGGCCAUUAGGUCGAGGGCACAUCUGCCUGGGCGUCACAC